GGGCGAUAAUCUGCAGGCUUAUACACACAAGACGCAGCACAAUGAAUCAUCCUAAUCAUUUUAUCUUUAUUAUAGCUUUGUAAUUUUUCAUCAAUAAUAACAUUAUAAUCGCCUUUGUCCAAUGCACGUUUCAACAGGGGCACUGCCAGAGUAGACAAUCUAUUAUGAAAACCGCUUUCAUUUUUAAUAGCUUUUUUCCCGGUAAUCAAUUCUAGAAGUACGAUACCGAAAGAAAAGACGUCGCACUUAUCAGUUAGCUUCCUAUCGUUGAUAUAUUCAGGAGCCAAAUACCCUGAACUUCCUUCCGAGUUGACUCUGGAAAUAUAAGAAUUUGAAAGGUCCACAUUCAUUUUGGCUAAUCCAUAAUCUGAAAUCUUUGGCUCAAAACUAUAAUCAAGAAGAAUGUUAUCCACUUUAACAUUUCCAUGUAUGAUCUUAGGCUGACACC
rnacentral:misc_RNA from 1 species